GUGGGGAAUUUUGGACAAUGGGCGCAAGCCUGAUCCAGCCAUGCCGCGUGCAGGAUGAAGGCCUUCGGGUUGUAAACUGCUUUUGUACGGAACGAAAAGACUCUGGUUAAUACCUGGGGUCCAUGACGGUACCGUAAGAAUAAGCACCGGCUAACUACGUGCCAGCAGCCGCGGUAAUACGUAGGGUGCGAGCGUUAAUCGGAAUUACUGGGCGUAAAGCGUGCGCAGGCGGUUAUGUAAGACAGAUGUGAAAUCCCCGGGCUCAACCUGGGAACUGCAUUUGUGACUGCAUAGCUAGAGUACGGCAGAGGGGGAUGGAAUUCCGCGUGUAGUAGUGAAAUGCGUAGAUAUGCGGAGGAACACCGAUGGCGAAGGCAAUCCCCUGGGCCUGUACUGACGCUCAUGCACGAAAGCGUGGGGAGCAAACAGGAUUAGAUACCCUGGUAGUCC
rnacentral:rRNA from 1 species